UACGUAGGGUCCGAGCGUUGUCCGGAAUUAUUGGGCGUAAAGGGCUCGUAGGCGGCCAACUAAGUCAGACGUGAAAUCCCUCAGCUUAACUGGGGAACUGCGUCUGAUACUGGAUGGCUUGGAUUCGGGAGAGGAAUGCGGAAUUCCAGGUGAGCGGUGAAAUGCGUAGAUAGUCUGGAGGAACACCGGUGGCGAAGGCGGCAUUCUGGACCGAUAUUGACGCUGAGGAGCGAAAGCCAGGGGAGCAAACAGG
rnacentral:rRNA from 1 species